GUGGGGAAUAUUGGACAAUGGGCGAAAGCCUGAUCCAGCAAUGCCGCGUGAGUGAAGAAGGCCUUCGGGUUGUAAAGCUCUUUUACCCGGGAAGAUAAUGACUGUACCGGGAGAAUAAGCCCCGGCUAACUCCGUGCCAGCAGCCGCGGUAAUACGGAGGGGGCUAGCGUUGUUCGGAAUUACUGGGCGUAAAGCGCACGUAGGCGGUCUUUUAAGUCAGAGGUGAAAGCCCGGGGCUCAACUCCGGAAUUGCCUUUGAAACUGGGAGACUUGAACACGGGAGAGGUGAGUGGAAUUCCGAGUGUAGAGGUGAAAUUCGUAGAUAUUCGGAGGAACACCAGUGGCGAAGGCGGCUCACUGGACCGUUGUUGACGCUGAGGUGCGAAAGCGUGGGGAGCAAACAGGAUUAGAUACCCGGGUAGUCC
rnacentral:rRNA from 1 species